rnacentral:hammerhead_ribozyme from 1 species
AUCCGGCUGAAGAGUCACAAAUAGGACGAAACGCGCGUCCUGGAU